UAUGGUUUGGAUUUUUUUUUUUUUUUAAAGUACUGGAGAUUAAGCCCAGGAACACUCUACCAUCCUCAACCCUUUUUAUUUUGCCCAGGAUUGCCUAAUUUGCAAUUCCCCUACCUCAGCCUCUUUCAUAGCUGGGAUUGUAGGUGUGAGCCACCACUCCCAGCCAUGGUUUGGAUCUUAAAUGUCCAUAGAGCUGAUGUGUUGAAGGCUUGGUUCCCAGGGCAGCAGUGUUCAGAGGUGGAGGCUUUUGGGAGGCCAUAGAAUCAUGAGGGCUCUAACUUCAUAAAUAUAUAAAUUUAUUUAUGGAUUCAAAGCUUAAUGGGUUUGGGGAGCUUUGUUUGGAAAGCAAGCUCUCUGCUUACUGGCUGCCAUGAGAUGAACCGUUUGUUCUACAUGCACUCUCCACCACGAUGUUCUGAUUUGCUAUGAGCCAAUAGCAACAGGGCCAGGUGACCUUGGGCUAAAACCUCUGAAACUGAGCCACAAUAACUUUCCUCCUUUUCAAGUUGUUUAAUCUCAGGUUUAUUUUUGUUUUUGUUGGCAGGGGCUACUGGGGAUAGAACUCAGGGGCACUCAACCACUGAGCCACAUCCCCAGCC
rnacentral:lncRNA from 1 species